rnacentral:rRNA from 1 species
AGCGAACGCUGGCGGCAGGCUUAACACAUGCAAGUCGAGCGCCCGUAGCAAUACGGGAGCGGCAGACGGGUGAGUAACACGUGGGAACGUACCCUUCGGUUCGGAACAACCCAGGGAAACUUGGGCUAAUACCGGAUACGUCCGUAAGGAGAAAGAUUUAUCGCCGAGGGAUCGGCCCGCGUCUGAUUAGCUUGUUGGUGAGGUAACGGCUCACCAAGGCUACGAUCAGUAGCUGGUCUGAGAGGAUGAUCAGCCACACUGGGACUGAGACACGGCCCAGACUCCUACGGGAGGCUG